GUAGUCCACGCCGUAAACGUUGGGCGCUAGGUGUGGGGACCCGUUCACGGUUUCCGUGCCGCAGCUAACGCAUUAAGCGCCCCGCCUGGGGAGUACGGCCGCAAGGCUAAAACUCAAAGGAAUUGACGGGGGCCCGCACAAGCGGCGGAGCAUGUUGCUUAAUUCGAGGCAACGCGAAGAACCUUACCAAGGCUUGACAUUCAGGGAAAACUGGCAGAGAUGUCAGGUCCGCAAGGGCCCUGAACAGGUGGUGCAUGGUUGUCGUCAGCUCGUGUCGUGAGAUGUUGGGUUAAGUCCCGCAACGAGCGCAACCCUCGUCCUAUGUUGCCAGCGGUUCGGCCGGGGACUCA
rnacentral:rRNA from 1 species